GACAGUCAUAGACGAGUAGACCUUAGGCGAGGGAAGGCAUGUACUUUCCCUAAGAAGCGGGAGGAGAGAAAUAAAUAGAGGGCAGUGGGAUGAGAAGAACCUCGCGGGAUGGGAAGCCGCGGAGGGAAGGGCCGUCUUUGGUUACCUGGAGAGCGGGAGCAGCUGCGGAUCCCUUAUGAAGUGCCCGGAUGAAGCUCCAGCGCUCACGCGCUUUCCGCAUUGAGUGCAGCGCCAUCUUGAGAAGGGCGGAGCCGUCUUGUUUGGAAUGACGUCUGUUCAGAGAGCCAAUCCCAGUCUCGCGACUCCUGCUUGCUGGGCGCGGCUUGGGCCUCCAGGCUGCGCAGCGCAGCCGCUAUCGGGCGGACUGCAGUUCUUGCCGAGCAGUCGCAAUGAUUUGUAUGACAGCUGCUAGCCCAAGAGAGAGUUCCAGAAGAGGGCUACCUAACAGGUGCUGUGGCAUUUAGAAGAGGAAUGGAGCCAUUGUCAACGCACAGCUUGCAGGGGAGCAGGAGAGUCAGUCUAAGAAGGAAAUGUGAUGAUGGAAACAGAGGUUGGAAGAUGGAAGAGGACCCAGAGUCAAGGAAUGCAGGUAGAAAAGAAAAGCCUGGAUUCUCCCCUAAAGCCUCCAGAUGGAACACAGCCCUGCCUCCACCUUGAUUUCAGGACUUCUUACCCCAAGAAUCGUAAGCUAAUACAUUUGUUUUUGUUUUUGUUUUUGUUUUCUUUGAGAUGGAGUCUUGCUCUGCUGCCCAGGCUGGAGUGCAGUGGACUGAUCUUGGCUCACUGCAGCGUCCAUCUUCCGGGUUCAAGCGAUUCUCCUGCUUCAGCCUCUCAAGUAGCUGGGAUUACAGGCGCCCACCACACCCGGCUAAUUUUUUUUUUUUUUAAUACUUUAAGUUUUAGGUUACAUGUGCACAACGUGCAGGUUUGUUACAUAUGUAUACAUGUGCCAUGUUGGUGUGCUGCACCCAUUAACUCGUCAUUUAGCAUUAGGUAUCUCUCCUAAUGCUAUCCCUCCCCCCUCCCCCCACCCCACAACCGUCCCCAGUGUGUGAUGUUCCCCUUCCUGUGUCCAUGUGUUCUCAUUGUUCAAUUCCCACCUAUGAGUGAGAACAUGCGGUGAUUGGUUUUUUCUCCUUGCAAUAGUUUGCUGAGAAUGAUGGUUUCCAGCUUCAUUCAUGUCCCUACAAAGGACAUGAACUCAUCAUUUUUUAUGGCUGCAUGGUAUUCCAUGGUGUAUAUGUGCCACGUUUUCUUAAUCCAGUCUAUCAUUGUUGAAUAUUUGGGUUGUUUCCAAGUCUUUCCUAUUGUGAAUAAUGCCACAAUAAACAUACGUGUGCAUGUGUCUUUAUAGCA
ensembl:lncRNA WARS2-AS1 WARS2 antisense RNA 1